rnacentral:rRNA from 1 species
UUGAACGCUGGCGGCAUGCUUUACACAUGCAAGUCGAACGGCAGCGCGGGUUUCGGCCUGGCGGCGAGUGGCGAACGGGUGAGUAAUACAUCGGAACGUGCCCAGUAGUGGGGGAUAGCUCGGCGAAAGCCGGAUUAAUACCGCAUACGACCUGAGGGUGAAAGCGGGGGAUCUUCGGACCUCGCGCUAUUGGAGCGGCCGAUGGCAGAUUAGCUAGUUGGUGGGGUAAAGGCCUACCAAGGCGACGAUCUGUAGCUGGUCUGAGAGGACGACCAGCCACACUGGGACUGAGACACGGCCCAGACUCCUACGGGAGGCAGCAGUGGGGAAUUUUGGACAAUGGGCGAAAGCCUGAUCCAGCAAUGCCGCGUGUGUGAUGAAGGCCUUCGGGUUGUAAAGCACUUUUGGCGGGAACGAAAAGGACUGUGCCAAUACCACGGUUCGAUGACGGUACCCGCAGAAUAAGCACCGGCUAACUACGUG